rnacentral:rRNA from 1 species
GUGCCAGCAGCCGCGGUAAUACGAGAGGCCCAAACGUUAUUCGGAAUCACUGGGCUUAAAGAGUUCGUAGGCGGCGCGGAAAGUGGGGUGUGAAAGCCCUCGGCUCAACCGAGGAAUUGCGCUCCAAACUGUCGCGCUUGAGGAAGCUAGAGGUAAGCAGAACUGAUGGUGGAGCGGUGAAAUGCGUUGAUAUCAUCAGGAAUACCGGAGGCGAAGGCGGCUUACUGGGACUUUUCUGACGCUGAGGAACGAAAGCUAGGGGAGCAAACGGGAUUAGAUACCCUCGUAGUCC